rnacentral:rRNA from 1 species
GACAGAGGUCCCAAGCGUUAGGCGGAAUUACUGGGCGUAAAGCGCACGUAGGCGGAUUUGUAAGUCAGGGGUGAAAUCCCGGGGCUCAACCUCGGAACUGCCUUUGAUACUGCAAAUCUCGAGUCCGGAAGAGGUGAGUGGAAUUCCUAGUGUAGAGGUGAAAUUCGUAGAUAUUAGGAAGAACACCAGUGGCGAAGGCGGCUCACUGGUCCGGUACUGACGCUGAGGUGCGAAAGCGUGGGGAGCAACAGG